GAUGAAGAACGUAGCGAAUUGCGAUAAGUAAUGUGAAUUGCAGAAUUCAGUGAAUCAUCGAAUCUUUGAACGCACAUUGCGCCCGCCAGUAUUCUGGCGGGCAUGCCUGUCUGAGCGUCAUUUCAACCCUCAUGCCCCUAGGGCGUGGUGUUGGGGAUCGGCCAAAGCCCGCGAGGGACGGCCGGCCCCUAAAUCUAGUGGCGGACCCGUCGUGGCCUCCUCUGCGAAGUAGUGAUAUUCCGCAUCGGAGAGCGAUGAGCCCCUGCCGUUAAACCCCCAACUUUCCAAGGUUGACCUCAGAUCAGGUAGGAAUACCCGCUGAACUUAAGCAUAUCAAUAAGCGGAGGA
rnacentral:misc_RNA from 1 species